rnacentral:ncRNA from 1 species
UUGAAUAACAACGGGAGCUUGGGAGUUGCCAGGCUGAGAGGACAGCCGAUUGCUGUCGACCGUAAAACCUGAUCUGGGUAAUGCCAGCGGAGGAAAAGUCCUAGCCUUUGUGU